rnacentral:rRNA from 1 species
UUCCGUUUGAUCCCGCCGGAGGUUACUGCUAUCGAGGUUCGACUAAGCCAUGCGAGUCGAAUGUAGCAAUACAUGGCGUACUGCUCAGUAACACGUGGACAACCUACCCUUAGGUCGGGGAUAAACCCGGGAAACUGGGUAUAAUACCCGAUAGUCCUCGGCUGCUGGAAUGCACCGAGGUCUAAAGCUCCGGCGCCUAAGGAUGGGUCUGCGGCCUAUCAGGUAGUAGUGGGUGUAGCGUACCUACUAGCCUACGACGGGUACGGGUUGUGAGAGCAAGAGCCCGGAGAUGGAUUCUGAGACACGAAUCCAGACCCUACGGGGUGCAGCAGGCGCGAAAACUUUACAAUGCUGGAAACAGCGAUAAGGGGACCUCGAGUGCCAGGUUACAAAUCUGGCUGUCGUGAUGCCUAAAAAGCAUUGCAUAGCAAGGGCCGGGCAAGACCGGUGCCAGCCGCCGCGGUAACACCGGCGGCUCGAGUGGUAACCGCUAUUAUUGGGUCUAAAGGGUCUGUAGCCGGCCGGAUAGGUCUUUUGGGAAAUCUGGCAGCUUAACUGUCAGGCUUUCAGAGGAUACUGUCUGGCUCGAGGCCGGGAGAGGUGAGAGGUACUCAGGGGUAGGGGGAAAUCUUGUAAACUGAAGGACCACCA